rnacentral:lncRNA from 1 species
UGGGAAAGCAAAGGGAAAUGAGAAUGGAGAAAAGUAUUUUCUAGAUAAAGCAGUUGGAUUUGAUGGGUGAGCCAGGAGACCAGCAGCAGGGAGGGUGGGUGGUCCAAUGGGCAGAGUUAUGGCUAGGAAGUGAAGAGUCAAGAGCCCCUGUUUCACCCACAGUCCAUGACUGUAGGAUCCAAGGCAUGACCCCUUCCCACAGCAGUGCCCCUUUAAGAGAGGGAAAUGUGAUCAAAAGGGUAAGAAGGGUCCCUUGCUCCUGGAGGGGAACUGCUGGCCCGUCUGCCUGAUAGCCACUGGAGGCAGGCCUUGGUUAGGCCUUCCCACUGACACCCAGUGGGACGUGAUGGCAGAGCAGUUGGUGCUUUUGUCAACAUGCUGCUUCCAGAUCUUCAGGUUACUAUUAAAAUCCCACCAAACCCUGCCACUGGCGUCCGUCGGGCUUUGUGGAUUGAUUCAGAUUUAAGGUGCGCCCCUCUAGGCCUUAGCACUGGAGGUGGAAAGAGCAGAAGAGUAAAACUUGGUCUUGGGGUCCCCAAAUUCAGAGGGAGUGACCGCAACAGGUAAGGUGACAGAUUCUAAACCAAAUUAUGUGAUACAGAUCAUGAAUGGUUUGCUUAUUCCAAAUUAGCACCAACCCUAAACAAAACAGAUAAACUGAAUCCUAAAAUGUACCCAGUAUGUUCACACUGGCCUAGGCUGAUAAUAAAUGUUC